rnacentral:rRNA from 1 species
AUACGUAGGUGACAAGCGUUAUCCGGAUUUACUGGGCGUAAAGGGCGUGUAGGCGGUCUUGCAAGUCAGAAGUGAAAUUCCUGAGCUCAACUCGGGCGCUGCUUCUGAAACUGCAGGACUUGAGUGCUGGAGGGGAUAGCGGAAUUCCUAGUGGAGCGGUAAAAUGCGCAGAUAUUAGGAAGAACACCGGUGGCGAAGGCGGCUAGCUGGACAGUAACUGACGCUGAGGCGCGAAAGUGUGGGGAGCAAACAGGAUUAGAUACCCUGGUAGUCCACACUGUAAACGAUGAAUGCUAGGUGUAGGGGGUAUCGACCCCUUCUGUGCCGCAGUCAACACAAUAAGCAUUCCGCCUGGGGAGUACGGCCGCAAGGUUGAAACUCAAAGGAAUUGACGGGU